rnacentral:tRNA from 1 species
GCAUCUGGGGGCACCCGGUCGCCCGGCCUCCGGAGGCGGGAGCGCAGGUUCGAAUCCUGCCGGGGGCACCA